UGGGGAAUAUUGCACAAUGGGCGAAAGCCUGAUGCAGCAACGCCGCGUGAGUGAUGAAGGCCUUCGGGUUGUAAAGCUCUGUCUUUUGGGACGAUAAUGACGGUACCAAAGGAGGAAGCCACGGCUAACUACGUGCCAGCAGCCGCGGUAAUACGUAGGUGGCAAGCGUUGUCCGGAUUUACUGGGCGUAAAGGAUGCGUAGGCGGAUUUUUAAGUGAGAUGUGAAAUACCCGGGCUUAACUUGGGUGCUGCAUUUCAAACUGGGAAUCUAGAGUGCGGGAGAGGAGAAUGGAAUUCCUAGUGUAGCGGUGAAAUGCGUAGAGAUUAGGAAGAACACCAGUGGCGAAGGCGAUUCUCUGGACCGUAACAUGCUGCACGCUGAGGCAUGAAAGCGUGGGUAGCAAACAGGAUUAGAUACCCUGGUAGUCCACGCCGUAAACGAUGAGUACUAGGUGUAGGAGGUAUCGACCCCUUCUGUGCCGCAGUUAACACAAUAAGUACUCCGCCUGGGAAGUACGAUCGCAAGAUU
rnacentral:rRNA from 1 species